rnacentral:rRNA from 1 species
UACGUAGGGAGCAAGCGUUGUCCGGAAUCAUUGGGCGUAAAGCGCGUGUAGGCGGCCCAGUAAGUCCGCUCUGAAAGCCCGGGGCUCAACCCCGGGAGGCGGGUGGAUACUGCUGGGCUCGAGUCCGGAAGAGGCGAGUGGAAUUCCUGGUGUAGCGGUGAAAUGCGCAGAUAUCAGGAGGAACACCGAUUGCGAAGGCAGCUCGCUGGGACGGUACUGACGCUGAGACGCGAAAGCGUGGGGAGCAAACAGG